rnacentral:rRNA from 1 species
AGACAUCUGAAAGAGAUUAAAGAUUUAUCGGUGAUGGAUGGGGAUGCGUCUGAUUAGCUUGUUGGCGGGGUAACGGCCCACCAAGGCUACGAUCAGUAGGGGUUCUGAGAGGAAGGUCCCCCACAUUGGAACUGAGACACGGUCCAAACUCCUACGGGAGGCAGCAGUGAGGAAUAUUGGUCAAUGGGCGAGAGCCUGAACCAGCCAAGUAGCGUGCAGGAUGACGGCCCUAUGGGUUGUAAACUGCUUUUAUAAGGGAAUAAAGUGAGUCUCGUGAGACUUUUUGCAUGUACCUUAUGAAUAAGGACCGGCUAAUUCCGUGCCAGCAGCCGCGGUAAUACGGAAGGUCCGGGCGUUAUCCGGAUUUAUUGGGUUUAAAGGGAGCGUAGGCCGGAGAUUAAGCGUGUUGUGAAAUGUAGACGCUCAACGUCUGCACUGCAGCGCGAACUGGUUUCCUUGAGUACGCACAAAGUGGGCGGAAUUCGUGGUGUAGCGGUGAAAUGCUUAGAUAUCACGAAGAACUCCGAUUGCGAAGGCAGCUCACUGGAGCGCAACUGACGCUGAAGCUCGAAAGUGCGGGUAUCGAACAGGAUUAGAUACCCUGGUAGUCCGCACGGUAAACGAUGGAUGCCCGCUGUUGGUCUGAAUAGGUCAGCGGCCAAGCGAAAGCAUUAAGCAUCCCACCUGGGGAG